rnacentral:rRNA from 1 species
UACGUAGGUGGCGAGCGUUGUCCGGAUUUACUGGGCGGAAAGGAUGCGUAGGCGGAUAUUUAAGUGAGAUGUGAAAUACCCGAGCUUAACUUGGGUGCUGCAUUUCAAACUGGAUAUCUAGAGUGUGGGAGAGGAGAAUGGAAUUCCUAGUGUAGCGGUGAAAUGCGUAGAGAUUAGGAAGAACACCAGUGGCGAAGGCGAUUCUCUGGACCAUAACUGACGCUGAGGCAUGAAAGCGUGGGUAGCAAACAGG